rnacentral:rRNA from 1 species
UACGUAGGGGACAAGCGUUGUCCGGAUUUACUGGGCGUAAAGAGCGCGCAGGCGGUCGUUCAAGUCGAGUGUGAAAGCCCCCGGCUCAACUGGGGAGGGUCAUUCGAUACUGAUCGACUGGAAGGCAGGAGAGGGAAGCGGAAUUCCCGGUGUAGUGGUGAAAUGCGUAGAUAUCGGGAGGAACACCAGUGGCGAAGGCGGCUUCCUGGCCUGUUCUUGACGCUGAGGCGCGAAAGCUAGGGGAGCAAACGGG